rnacentral:lncRNA from 1 species
UUCUGAGAGAUUGAAAUAACUCAGCUCGGAAGAGGAAGGGGCGAGAGAAGGCCACAGAGUGGAAUGAACCAGCAGACAAAGGCAGAGCCUCGUGACAGGACCAGCGGUUAGCCUUAGGGCUCCUGGAGCAGCAGGGUCUGCUGAGAGCUCCUGUGUCCGAAAUAUGCAUCCUGAAAGUCAUGGGAAGAAAGACAUUUAAAAAUAAGCCAGAGCUGUUAUCGCCAGGAACUCAGUGGCAGAAGCGAGUCAGGAAGCACCACCAGCAGACGUCAGGCUCUCCAGUUUGUUCACUGCAAGAAUCAGAUGUGGAGAUGGUUGUGCAGUGGCCCAUCAGGGGACAAGGGACCAGUACACCGAGUCUGGUGACCUGGAGAACAAUGUGACCUUGGGAUGGACAUGGAUCACUGGUGUCAGGCACGUGCUUCACUGUACAGCUCGUGUCUACUGAAAUAGAUUCGGAACCCUACAAUCAGAACCUCUGAGCUGCUGUUGGGAAGAAUUUCAUGCCCAGAGCUACUGAAGGGCAGAUCUGGGGUUGGAUCUCUGACUGGGGGCUCUGGUUUUGGCCAGAAUUUAGUUGUGUGACUUUGAGGAACUCAUUUGUUUUCUUUAAUUGUAAAGUUUUUUUGAUUAAAUAAAACUCCUUC